rnacentral:rRNA from 1 species
GAUGAACGCUGGCGGCGUGCCUAAUACAUGCAAGUCGAGCGAACAGAUAAGGAGCUUGCUCCUUUGAAGUUAGCGGCGGACGGGUGAGUAACACGUGGGUAACCUACCUAUAAGACUGGGAUAACUUCGGGAAACCGGAGCUAAUACCGGAUAACAUUUAGAACCGCAUGGUUCUAAAGUGAAAGAUGGUUUUGCUAUCACUUAUAGAUGGACCCGCGCCGUAUUAGCUAGUUGGUAAGGUAACGGCUUACCAAGGCGACGAUACGUAGCCGACCUGAGAGGGUGAUCGGCCACACUGGAACUGAGACACGGUCCAGACCCCUACGGGAGGCAGCAGUAGGGAAUCUUCCGCAAUGGGCGAAAGCCUGACGGAGCAACGCCGCGUGAGUGAUGAAGGGUUUCGGCUCGUAAAACUCUGUUAUUAGGGAAGAACAAAUGUGUAAGUAACUGUGCACAUCUUGACGGUACCUAAUCAGAAAGCCACGGCUAACUACGU